rnacentral:tRNA from 1 species
GGCAUGGUGGCUCAGUGGUUAGAGCGCCCGUCUCAUGAACGGGAGGUCGUGAGUUCGAACCCCGGCCGAGUCA